rnacentral:rRNA from 1 species
UACGUAGGGUGCAAGCGUUAAUCGGAAUUACUGGGCGUAAAGCGUGCGCAGGCGGCUUUGUAAGUUUGUCGUGAAAGCCCCGGGCUCAACCUGGGAAUUGCGAUGAAGACUGCAAGGCUUGAAUCUGGCAGAGGGGGGUAGAAUUCCACGUGUAGCAGUGAAAUGCGUAGAGAUGUGGAGGAACACCGAUGGCGAAGGCAGCCCCCUGGGUCAAGAUUGACGCUCAUGCACGAAAGCGUGGGGAGCAAACAGG